AUUUUUGGUUCAAGUGAUACAGAAUGACGUCAGGGUGAUACAGAUACAGAACGGCGUCCAUCUUUGAUUUGAUACAGAUAUUAUCAUCUCUACAGAGGAUGAAAUCCAUAAAUAAAUAUUAUUUGAAUAAUUCUCUAUUAUAUCAGUGUUUAAUGAUAUUUAGAUAGUUUUUAAUAUUGGUUUCAAUUGACCUACAGAUUUUUUGGUUAUUUUUUUUUUGACUGAAAAUUGUACUCAACUCAAAAUGAAUUGAGGUUAUGAAAAUAUUAACCAUAGAUAACCAAUUUUUGGAAUUUUUAGUCUGAAUCUAAAUUUAAAAGAGGAAUAGGACAGUUUUUAUCUCAUCUCUCCGAUCAUUUUGAUUUAAAUUAUAUGUGGAAAUAAUUAAAGAAUGAAACUGUUAAUUUGGUAAACAGAUACAGGAAUUUGGAGGUUAGCCUAUUUAUAUUUAGCAUAUUUUCCUAGUUUUAUCCCAACCUAGCAAAUAAUAACAGUUUAGCUUGUUAGAACGACAACUUGUUGCUUGGUAUGGAUUGUAAGACACAGAAGAAGACGCAUUUAGAUGUUUUUGGAUCUUGAAUCUUGAUGCUCACAGAAAAGCAAGUCAACCAGACAGGCUCUGAAAAUUGAUGAAAUGGAACAAAUUAUUUGGACAAGACACUAGAAAAAUUCUACUCGAUCGGUUUUGAAAUCAUACCUCAAGAAACUUGCGAGAUCUUCGUCUGCACUGCAAAACCAUUUUAGGGUUUGUUGGAGGCGAACGACAUCCACAACAAUGGGAUAGCGGGGUUCGGGCGCCAACCCGACAGUGACAGUGGUGCACUGCGAGAUCCACCACGGACAGACGGGUGGCUUGUACGGGCUCGGCCAGUUCAUCGACAACCGCAUCCAUU